rnacentral:rRNA from 1 species
AUGAACGCUGGCGGCGUGGAUAAGGCAUGCAAGUCAAGGGGCCCCGCGAAAGCGGGGAACCGGCGAACGAGGUAGUAACACGUAGGUACGUACCCUUUAGUCUGGAAUAGCCCCGCGAAAGCGGGGGUAACACCGGAUAGUCCCCGCUUUGCGGGGUAAAAAUUUAUUGCUAAAGGAGCGGCCUGCGGGAUAUCAGCUAGUUGGUAAGGUAAUGGCUUACCAAGGCUAUGACGUCUAGGGGAGCUGAGAGGCUGACCCCCACCGAUGGAACUGAGAAACGGUCCAUACACCUACGGGUGGCUGCAGCCGAGAAUAUUCGACAAUGGGCGAAAGCCUGAUCGAGCGACGCCGCGUGGUUGAUGAAGUCCUUCGGGACGUAAAAACCUUUUAUGAUUAAGAAAGUUUAUUGAUCUGAUCAUGAAUAAGGGGCUCCAAACUCUGU